CGAAGUGAUGAUUGUAAUUUUGUCGCCCCAGUCUUACUUGCAAUUUUUCUGAUUGCUAGGUGGUGAUUGACAUUCAUAUCUGAUCU